UUCUUGUAACGUGCGUUUAAUCCCUGUCCAAAGCAAACGUCCGUUUGGUUUUUUAAGGGAGACUAAACGCGCUCUCACUUUCAAUAGGUUUUCUUCCUCCACCAAAGCAAAACCACCAUUUAGACUUUCAAAAUCCUUAUGAGCCCUCUCUCUGACAAGGAAUAUAUGGAGUUUAUUCGGUCUGUGGUUUCUGUUUAAUCAAGAAGGUUAUGUUAUACGCAGUUGCUGCAAUCCACAAGACCCAGUCCAACGUCGCCUUCAUCAACAAAGGUAAUAGAUCGAGUUGGAGCUUAGAGUUUUUCAACAAGCUUGAGAUUUGAAGUGAGAAUCGUAUGCUGUUUUAUUGUAUUUUAGUAUUUAUGAAAUUUCAGUGAUGUAUUUUGAGAUGGUUGUUACCUUUUAUGAAUUUUGGGUUGUAAUUUAUUUAAGAGAUGUUUUCGGGCUUUAAUUAUAGCUUAGAUAAUAUUUUUCCGCAUUUCACUAUUUAUUUCACUUUAAUAGGUAUUAUAGGGUGGUUUUUUGAGUUAAUUACGAGAUAAUUAAUUUUAGAAGCACUGCCAAUAACUUUGAAGGUUAAUUAUCCUUGUUAAUUAAAUAUAUGGACGUUACAUGGUGUCCCCUUGACAUCAACACAGUUAGCCUAGUGUGUCACCCAUGGUGUCAAUACAGUCAAAUUAGUUUUAAAAGUUUUAAGAAGGAAAAGAAGGUUUUAAAUCGGUUUUAAGGGUAAGUUCAAGUAUUGUCUGAGCAUGAUUUAUCUGUGGUAUUGAUCCAAAAGUUUUGAAUAUAUGUUUGUGAUAUGAAACUUUAUUGACAUGAUGUGAUUUACAUGUUUUUAAAGGCAAGGAGUUUGAAAUAAAAUGGUUUAUGAAAAACUCUUUAAAAAAUGUUGUUAAAUUGGGUACCUGGUAGUUAAGUGAGGUUAUACACUUAACAAUCCAAAGUUAGGACGGGAAAAUAAAAACCCCAAUCAACCUAGUGGUUAUGUGGGCUUAUACGCUUAGCAUAUUGAAGUUGGUAGAAAGAUAAAACACCACCAACCGUGCGGUUA